AGUGGAAUUGCUGGGUCAUAUGGUAGUUUUAUUUUCAGUUUUUUGAGGAGCUGCCAUGCUGUUUUCCACAACGGCAGUACCAUUUUGUAUUCCCACCGGCAAU
rnacentral:pre_miRNA from 1 species